AGCACCGUCAGAGGUGCGCUUGGGGACGGGCUUUAACAUACCAAUGACUUCGAGGGGAUCUGGGAUGUAGCUGAUCAUGGAGAGUGACGCGUUCUUGUGGUCGUAAACGAGGUAGUAGGGCAGAUCACGAAGGUCCUCGCGCUGCAGGAACAGCAUCAUGAUCAUGAGGUCCUGCUCUUCAUCCAUCAGGAUUAUGCUGGCCCUCGCAGUCAUAUUACUGUUCAGGUAGUGCGGCCUGCAGUUUUUUCGGGCACGGCCGUCAAGCUCCGAGUUGAAUCUCUCAUGAGCUUCUGGGCUGAUGCGGAUGGCCAAGGAUGAGCUGACAAGCGGAUCGUCGCCGAGGAGCACGUGGAGACUGAGGCCAUUCAACGCCUCCUUGAUGUUGUCCCCGCAUCCGUAAGCCUUCCUGCAAACGAUCUUAAUCUCAGUCCACCCUUCCCCCGGCCUGCCGAUCAAUUUGCCCGGCCUGCCGAUCAAUUCGCCCGCACGCACUUCGUUGUUGAACACGUAGAUAGGAGCGGGACGCCGGGCAGCAGUCAUGGCAGACGCGCGGCGCGGCGCCGGUGGAGGGGCAGGCGCGCUGCGGGGCGCCGGUGGAGGCAGGUAGGUAGGAGGAUCGAGAGUCCCGGCCGCAAUCAUGGCUUACGCACCGCGAAGCGCAAGCGCCGGUGGAGGAACGAGAGGAAGGGGAAAGGUGAAACCCUAGAUCGGUGUUACUGGUUUGACGAGGGGAUCAGAUCCGGAUGGAACUUGUGGACAAGACUGGGAGGAGGGGAGACGGAUGCGGAUGCGGCACGCAGCUCGACUUCAACUCGCCCAAGCAAUGGUGGAGGGAGGUUCGUUAGAUCGAGUUCACGCGGAUCGUGGGGCUAGUGGACGGUAGAUGUGGUGCCUAAACAAACACCAAGGGAUAAGAACGCUGAACGCGUGAACUCGGUGGACGUUGGACCGGCUGUACUUUUCCUGGGCCAUCGAGCUCGUUUUUGUUUCGCCCACCGGGCUCGCAUGAGUGCAGACGUGCAGUACCGUGCGCAAAUUCAAACAAAGGCCCAGAUGGUGGUUUUUACUUUUUCUUUUUUAAUUAUUUCGAUUGGAUCUUUGAAAAAUCAUAGUAAAUCACAGAAAAUCUAAUUUUAUUGGACUCCACUUAAGUAGAUUCAAAUUUUUUGCUAUAAAGGUUUUGUCUUUUAUUUUUUAUUUAUUUUAGCUAAAUAUUUUAAAAAUCAUAAAAUAUAAAAUCUAAUUUUCUUAGACUCCACAUGAGCAUAUCUAUACAGUAAAUACAUAAUAUACUAUGCUUUAGUAUAGUUUUUUUAUUGUAGCUUUAGAUGUAUGCUUUUCUAUAAUUAAUUGAAAUAAUGCAUAGCUGCAGCUUCUAUAAUUAUUUUGUCAAACUAAAUCAUACAUACAUUAUAUGUUCAUUGUGUAUAUAUACUCAUGUAGAGUCUAAGAAGAUUUUCUAUUUUAUAAAUUUUUCUAUGAUUUACUAUGAUUUUUCCAAAGAUUCAGCCAAAUAAAUAAAAAAAGAAAAGGAAAAAAUCUUUAUAGCAAAAACUUUUUACUACAGCAUACCAUAUUAUAUGUUUACUAUGUAGACUAGGUAGUGUGCCCAUGCGUUGCUAUCGGACAACUAAUUUUUUUUACUAAAAACACACGUAUCGCAUAAUAAGAUAACAAUACUAUAAAAAUAUCGACAUUAAAGUAAUAUUUAAUCCAAAAAGCCCUUAAAUGAUUGUGCAUUGUAACGGGAAAACACAAUAAUACGAUAAUAUAUGCAUGAACGUGUGUUAUAGCAUUAUCUAAACAACUACUGCAGUCACGAUGUUUAGAACAUCAGUAUUCCAUAGGUCUUUAUAAAGGUUUUGUAUGAGUUAUCUUUCAUCUAAACUCCUUUUGUGUCUCUGACAAAUUCCGUCGGCCCUCCAACACACAUGAACCCCCUUUUUUACGAAACACGACUACACUACCACCUUAGUGCAAGAUGAGCAAUGACCACAUUCCAUUUUCGACCACCUCAACUUGUGAUGAGUGACGGCCACAUACGAGAUCGACGAGCACAUAGACCAACACUCCGUCCACUGUGACACAUCAAUGCACAUUGCCACACCGGAAUUUGAUGAUGGUAAAGCCAGCAUGUCAGCAUGGUCGUAUUACCACAACACAGUGGGACUGGUCAUGACAUACCAAAUUCAAAAUAAAACACUUAUUCUAAAAUCAUACUCAUUUUCUUGUGCAAUAAAUAGUCUCACCGUUUCAAUUUUUGUUGUAGUAAAUAAAAUCUAAUAAAAUCAAAUACCUUAAAUUCAUUCUAAUAUUCAGACUCUUUAAUAACAUUUCCGUUUAAUUCUGUUCAAUAAGUUUCAUGGUUCACCAAACUACCUGCAACAACUCCCGGGAUGAUAAAAGCAAGAUUUAAGAAUUAAGGCACAUUACGAUGAUACUAUUGAACUUUUCAAAAAACAAGAUUUGGAUCAAAAAUAAUUUCAUGAUAUAGUCUCGUUUCACUUGAUCAGCCUUCUCAUAUUGAAAUUGCAGUUGCAGUGUCCCUCUGUCAAUUUUGUUUUAACAUUUAGGAGUAGAUUCCAGUGCAGGCUAAUUGGCUUGGACUCAGUGUCACCCUGCGGACAAAUUCGCUCUUGUCAGUAGCAAUCGCCAAAAGAUCAUCUCCUGCAAAAUUUAAUUCGAGUCAACAGAAUAAAAUUGAUAGAAUAAACCAUGACAUAUUUCUAUCAAUCAAGUUUGCUUCUUCUUUUCAAGUUUCUCCUUAGCUAGUUGCUUUUUAAAUCCCAAUUCUUAAGUUUCCUUCUCUCGCUCCUUUCUUUGUGCUGCUAGAUGCUCUUGAAAGCUAUAAAUAAUAGAAUCAACAGAAGCAUUGAAGUGCAUCUGUACUAUACCAAACAGGCAUCUGAACCAACAGAACCAUUGUAGUGCAUCUGUAUUUUCGGUUAGGUGAAAUGAUCAGUCUUAACAGCAACACUGAAUACCUUACCCAUGUAAGCUUAGUGAAACCAGGCCUGAGUCUUGACAUCAGUCUGACCAUAAAACCCACAGGAAAUUGGAUUCGGCAUCAAUUCAACAGAAGAUUAUCUAUACAACAUCAGAAACAAUGCAUAAAUUGGAAGCCAACAGGAAUACUAAACAAUGGAUUCUGUCAUCAUAGAAAAGAUCUUCAAAUAAAAAACAAGAAUAUCAGACAAUUGGAAAGUAAGAGUAUUAUACAGGACCAAUCCAUUAGUACUAUCAUUUAUUUGUACUUAGGAGUAUAGCAAUCCUACAAUGCAGAUGGUUAAAUUGCGGCACUACUAAUAAGUAGUAACAUAUCAGACAAUUGGGUCUCAACAGUAUAGCAAUCCUCACCCUGCUCCACAUUCAAAAAUACACUAGCAAUGUAACAAGUACCAUUGCUAGAAUGUAUUUGCGUUGAAUGAGGGCUGAAUUAGUUUUCCAAACACUGACAAAAUACUAGCUGGGGCAAGGUGAUUUCAAACUAUUGAAAGGAGCAUGGUAAUGCUCAAUGCACCAACGCAUUACAUAACCCAGUGUUUUUUAGCUAAUGACAAAUGUAGCACGGUCACAGAUAUGAUAAACUUUUUCUCUCAAACAGACGAGCAUUAUGUAAAUAGAGCAUCAUCAAUAUAUACACCCAUUGAAGGAAAGAAAUUGUUGUGGGUUAUGUUUUUUUACAAGCUCCUGAAAAGAGGAUUGGGGCAGCCUGUAGAUACUUACUAUAAUAAUCAAGUGUUGUCAUGUAUUGUUCAUGACGUCGAUUAACAAGGCUUCCAAACAAUAAGGUUCAUCUAUUGUCAGGUUUGCAGAUCACACCCAAAGAGCAGGGUUAUGCAAUGUACUCAAUUGUACUCACGUGAAAACUGAUAACUGAAUCAUAACCCCCAAAUAGCUCUCUAUUGAGUCAUACUCCCUCCGUCCUAAGAUAGAAGGCGCAACUACUUUUUUCAAUUGUCCAAGGAAACAAGGCGCUUGACUCCUCGGCUCCGCGUUGAGGAAUCACCACCAACAUUACCUAAAGCCAUAUAGCCUGCAAAAACAAAAACAAAAAAACCUAAGCAUCACUCUACAUAAGUCCCAUAUAGAAGAGAGUAACUCUUGUAAUUUAGUGCAUGCCUGUUUAUGAACAUUCUCGAUGUGAGAGUUGAGGAGCUUGACAAAGAGACAGCAGCUUCCUGAAGUGUGUGGUUGCCUUAAGCCGCACGGUGGGGGCGUUGGAGAGGACGACUUGCACCAUCGCCAACAAGCCAUCGAGUUGCACAACCAGACUACAAGAAAAUUAGCCAGGGGGUCCACGGCGGUGCGGAUCUUGUCGACAGAAGGGAGGACUGCGAAGACAACCUUGGCAAUGAAGCUGGCACCGGGAACCAAGCCAGCCACUCCACCUCAUGCCUCCUGACCCUCUCCUAAGAGGAGGGCAACGACGGGAAGGGCAGUAGACCGGGAGUCCAGAGACGUUUUUUUAUUUAAUAAUUUUUAAAUUGGUAGAGAAAAAGAGGCGGCGUGGGAAUCGAUCCUUGGUCACAUGGGACGGAAGUUGCAGGGCCGUCGCACGUUGGUGGACCGACGAAACUAAACAAUAUGUCGCACGAAGAAAUAGUCUUACUUUUGUUCUUUUUUUAGUUGUAGUAGGAGAUCUAUUUAUCUGGAGUCCAAAAAAUUAGAUUUUCUAUUUAAUGAUUUUUUUGUGAUUUACUAUAAUUUUCAAAAUUCAGCCAAAAUAAUUUAAAAAGAAAAAGAAAAAACCAUAGUUACUAUAGCAAAACCACCAUUCAUUCGGAACAGCUCUAGGGAGGUAAAAUGCACGGUUUGGAAAAGUUGAAGAAGAUGGUUUGCCCGGUUUUCGAGUUGAAGGAGGAAAAAUGAAUUUUUGUAAAAGUUGGGGGAGGAAAAGUAGAAUUUUUCCAAAAAACUAUAUUCCUUCUCACAUCUAUGCUUAGACUAUAAGGGUGAGUGCACAUGCAUAUUGUGGACGUCUACAUUGUACUAUGUAAUUCUAGAAAAAAAAAUCUAUGUUUGGGUUGUUGCUUUGUGUCCUAAGCUAAAUUUAACUAAUUCUUAUCAAGUUUCGUUAGACACAAAGCUCGCAUGCGUGACCUAGGGAGCGACAGCGGUGGCGGUGACUGCACGCCCACCCUAGGGGUUUAACUCUGCCGGGGUUUUUCACCGUCAUGAAGAAUUUUGGCCGCGACGCUACCCAUUCCCAUUCCCAUGGCCUGCUUCGGGCUGAUCAAGGGGCCAACCUUGCUUGGCUACCCGACCUUGACAGGAUCAAGAUAGUGUGAUCGUGGUUUGUUGUGUUGGCAUGUGAUGGUGAUAGCGCCGCUAGGGAUUUUGGAGGGGAAAGAUGGUGACAUAGAAGACCUUCACAAGGCUGGAUGCGAUAAGAUCGUAGUGAGAAAGGAAGAAGUGAUGAAGAAGACAACCACUAAUGAUAAGGCGAGCUCCCUCGAGGUCUCGCCUCUCCCAAUGAGUUGCUUAAGUUGGAAAUAUCGCAGAUUCGCAUACUUGCCAACACCGCAAUAGUCGAGGGAAUAAAAAAAUAUUUCGCCUAGUUAAAGUUACAAUGAUGUACAAAUCUAGGCUGAUCCUUGUUAAUUUGAAGUUGAACAUGGCCGUACACCGGCAAAUGGGUAGCUGCAAAACUGCCCAAGUAUCCAGCAACAACAGGUCAACCAACAGAGCACAUGUUAGGACUAUAUUGACCAGCCUAGAUUUUUUUUCAUCAAAUCACCAGCCAACACAAGUGUUUACCUUUUCUGUUAGUUUUUGUGCAAUGUGCUUCUCAAGCAUCUGACCGUAAGCUAGUAAUGAAAGCCAAAUGAAAAAUUAGUUAGGUUUACACCUAUCUAACCAAUCAUUGACCCCAGUUAUUUUAGCAUACUUGCUAGAAAUGGUUUAUAUCCUGCGAGUUCCUCAAACUGACUUUGAAAAAAUGUAACAAGUUGCUCGCUCAAUUUCGCUGAAUAACCCAAAUGCAUGAAUUUUCCGAUAUAACUGCUCUGGCCACAAAGAUUUAAUUUACUAUUUUAUUUUAUAUUUUAUUUACAAUUCAACAGGCAUCCCCAGAUGUGUAACUUUGGUCAUCGAUACAACAACAAAAAAAUACUGAUAUAGACUUUGAAGCAAGAACAUGACUUGAGCAGUCAUCAAAGAUAAUCAAAACGUGACACACACCACAAUGAAUUACAACUCAGUCAUACCAAAUAUAUACCCUUUUAUCAACAAUAACUAUAUGCUAGAUCUUUCAAUUUCCUCAGUGUAACACACUUCAUGGAAAUUUAUAGAGCACCACUAAUAGCACCUGACUCCAAUCCCUAACGGUUUAAGCAAGCAUGUCAACUUGAGCUAUGAAAACACUACUAGUAUGCUCAAAUACGGUCAGAGGAAACUAUGUUAGAACAAGAGGUGUAAACUCCACAAGCAAUUAAGCCCUUGAGAGAUCAGAAAACAUAGUAGUAGUAGUAGUAGUAGUAGUAGUAGUAGUAGUAGUAGUAGUAGUAGUAGUAGUAGUAGUAGUAGUAGUAGUAGUAGUAGUAGUAGUAGUAGUAGUAGUAGUAGUAGUAGUAGUAGUAGUAGUAGUAGUAUGAUUAGCUAGAGGUAAUUUAGGGCGCUGUCUAUAUUAUCCUUACAAAAUUUGAAGGGGUUAGGCAACUUUUAUGAGAAUAAAGAGAGAUACAAAUUUAGAACACAAACAACCCAUUUGUACAGUAAUUCUGUUUUGUUUCCUGUACUAUCUUGCUAGCACGCCUGAACCAAUUUCUGAAAUUGCUCCAACUAUACAACAGAUGGUUCAAGAACUUUUAGAGCUUCUAUAUGCCUUUUUUUUAAAAAAAAUAACAAAUGGACAGGAGAGCUACCUAUUAUAUCAAGAUUCUAUAUACAGUUUCAGAGGCCAAUCUAUGAAAAUCUAUAUGCACCCAACAAUUUCAAUUGUCACACCACAUGCAUCACACCAAGAACAGGCCUAAACAUUCCAAUAUUAACCACAAAAAAAAACAGAUAUAGUUUUCAUUGAUUCAGCUCUUAGCUACAUCCUGAUAUGUAUAUACCAAAACAAAGUUGUAAGCCCAACCUAGCAGAACAGGGCAAUCAUGAACCGUGCGCAUCUAGCUUUCUGCCCCCAUAAAGCCUUGUUCGUUUCAUCCCGAAACCAAGGGGGUUAGAGGGGAUUGAGGGGGAUUUAAUCCCCUACAAGUCAAAAUCUCCCUCAAUCCCCUUCAGUCCUCUCCAACCCCCUUUGGUUUGGUGAAGAACCAAACAACGAAUAAAAGAUAAUUCAUCAAGGUUCUCCAAUUGGUUGACAAUAACAGAUUGAAAUCCAUAACAUGGUUUUUAAUAGUAGCAAAACGACUGCCUUCAAUUCCACCUCCUUUUCGUUGGUGGACCGACGAAACUAAACAAUAUGUCGUACGAAGAAAUAGUCUUACUUUUGUUCUUUUUUUGUUGUAGUAGGAGAUCUAUUUAUUUGGAGUCCAAAAAAUUAGAUUUUCUAUUUAAUGAUUUUUCUGUGAUUUACUAUAGUUUUUCAAAAUUCAGCCAAAAUAAUUUAAAAAGAAAAAGAAAAAACCAUAGUUACUGUAGCAAAACCACCAUUCACUGUAGUAAAACCGCGAUAACUAGGCUAUGUAAUGCUUUUGCAAUUAGUAGUAAUGGUCGUAGUGGUGGCUUAGGAUUUUUUUGGAUUAAUAACAUCAAUGUGUCUUUAUUACCAUAUUUAAACCCUAAACCCUAAACAUGCUAUCCUUUCAAGUUGGUCUUAAACAGGGCUAAUUAAAAUUCUUCCAGCAGAUAAUACGCAAAGCCCAAAGAAGAGAUCGGACAUCAUGGCUUCAUGUAAACAAAAUGCCAUUCACUGCCACUUCACACUCAAAGAAAUUAGUAGAACUUACAGACCUUAUUCAUCAGCACAUCAUCAACCACAACACGGCUAAUUUUCUUGACUAGGUCAUACAGAGCCUUGAUUUCAUUCACAUUAACUACUAAUCUUCUCGAACAGCUCAUAUAGUGUCAUCUUGGGAUGCAUAGUUCAAGAUCUUGUCGGUAUGCAUCAUCAGGAUAUUGCAAGUGUAAAUCCCUACAUCCUAACUGCAAGCUAACUGAUGUGGAGGCUAGCCUGCAAGAAAAAUUCACACAACAUAAAAAUUCCCUCAUUAGGAUUGGAAUUUGAUAUUUUAAGAUUUUCUAAUGACAUCGAAUGGAGACACAAUAUGAAAAUAGUUGUAGUACUCAAAGGGAUUUGCAACUUUAUAGUUGACUACUUUUUUCAUUCAAAAUCAUUUAAUGGUUACAUUCUUUUUUUAAGUUUUCAACAUAGGUGCCUAGGUGGUGUAUUCUAAAACUAUAUGUAUGCUCCGUUGCAGUACUUAGCUUGUUAGUUGACAGAGAGGGUUCACGAAAUAUGUUGACCCCGUGCACAUUAUUUUUUUGUUAGGACAUAUUCUACCAAAUUAGGGGAUGAUGUUCACUGUGAAUGAAGUAGCAGUGGCUGAUGGUUUUGCUGGAAUCAUCACACUCAACCUGGAGUCCAACGACAAGGAUGGUAAUCAAUAUGCAUAUCCACAGCAGCCGUUUCUAGGAACAAUCAUAGCCUGCAGGCGCCGAUGGUUAGAGAACACAAUUUUGGACAACCCAUGGAGACAAUAGGUGUCAUGGACCAAGUAGAAGUUGUAUCAAUUUUAUAAAAAGUUUGCCCUUGGGAGGCAUAUCAGGUGGUGGAUCGACCAUUUUAAUUUUGUUAGUAUAUAUAAAUGCAUUUAUGAGAGCACCAAGGUGAAUGUGUCUAACUACACAUUUAAUUUUUUGUAUAGGUUCAACGUACUCAGAUGCAGGUUGAGACAUUUUUUUUAGAUCACGCUCAGCGUGUAUUUCAUUAAGCAGAAAAAGUUUGAAACAACACAAGUUCCCCAAAGAAAAAAACUCGGCAGGCAAAGCCGAGAACAAACCGAAGCGAACACAGGAAUCACAAAAGCCUCAGCCAGCAGUUGCAAGCAGGGCGCCUAAACCUCUAUAACCGGACGCCGACCAGAAGGAGGCUUCGUCCCAAAUCUUCAGGAACAGAACUAGAGCCGCGGAUGACUCCCCCCGAAACGUGCGCGCGUUCCGCUCCUUCCAAAGAGACCAACCGACGAGAAGAACGAAGGAGUCGAAACCCUUGCGCAGAGCCCUCGGCACGAGCUUCCUGGAAGUCGUCCACCAAUCCAGGGCGCGGCCAAGCGGCAGCUGAAGCGGGUACGCGAGGUGCAGCCUGUCUAUGCACCGAUGCCAGACCUCUCGACUGAAAGCACAGUCCGCCAGAAUGUGGUCCAUAGUCUCCGAGUGCUGAUCACAAACGAUGCAGACAUCGGAGUCCUGCAGCCCAUGCCUGAACCUCCGAUGCCCAGUCCAGCAUCUUCCAUGCAGCGUGAGCCAGAAGAAGUAGUGUACUCUCGGCGGCGCCGCGGUCUUCCAAACCAGCUUCGCCCCAGGCAACGCCACGGAGCCAAAGAACAUGGCCCCAUAAGCCGAGGCAGCUGAAUACUCACCACUCUCGUCGAGUGACCAGGAGAACGUGUCCGGCUCCGCCGAGAGAACCACCUGAUCAAGCAGAUCGCAAAGAGCCGCUACCUCCACCAUCAUCCGAACGAGGCGGCCUCAGACAAGUGGCUGAGCCAUGCAUUAGUUGGCAACGCCUCGGCCACCGUUGCUCUUCUCCUCCUUGGCCUCACCGCCGCAAAGACCAACGGUGCCAGGAAUUGGAUAGAGUUCCCCCGUAUCCAUCUGUCCGUCCAGAAGAGCACAGAUUCUCCGUUGCCUACCUUGACCAGAGUCGCCGCAUGAAAAAGAGCGAGCACCGACGGCUCGGCAGGCGGAACUAGCAUCCCCCUGCGCCUGUCACGCCAAAGCCAUCGCGCUCUAAGAGCUAUUCCGGUUCUCCGUAAAUCAGAGAUGCCCAGCACUCCGAGCUCCUUUGGGCAGCACACGAUCGUCUAGGCGACCCGGCAGCGGCCCCCAGCCACAUUAACAUCCCCCGCCCAGACGAAAGCCCUCCUCAGCUUGUCGAUCUGCUGCAACGCGCAGGUUGAGACAUUGAUUGUUGUUUUUGAUGAAUUGAUAAAGGGCUUGUUAUUUAACAAGUCAGAUAUCCUCCGUACUUGUACCAAUGCCAUGUAAGUUUGUUGGAAAUGCCCCAUUUUGUAGUACACAUUACAUGUUGAGUGGUUCAGCCCAGCUAUUUUCUACGGGGACAUUGUGAAUGCAGGAACCAUUAUUUAUGUCCAUUUUGACACCAUCUUACAAGAUGCACUCUCACUGUUUUUGGCUGACCAAUUUGGAUAUCUGGAUUAUAAGCUCUUGGCAGUUUCAUUAUGGAGUGAUUUCAUGGGUGGGAUGAAUCUGAUGCGCAUGCAGCCUGAUCCAUGAUCUCUCCUCCAGCUUAGAGGUUGGCCCUUGAAGCCCUUCAUUCAAUUGACAACCUAGCUGUCUAGCCAUAAUUUUGAGAAAAAGUUGCCCCCUACUGGACUUCAUUAAAAUUUAAUAACAAUGUUACUUUGGAAAAACGAAAAAAGAAAACAUUUCAAAAAACUUUAGUAGAACGAGAGCAUUUCCAUUCAGAUUAGUUACCACAAGUGCGAUCUGGCGGUUCGAUUAGUUACCAAGUGUCCGGUCUUUCGGAGCUGCAGGCUGCAGCAGCCGCUGUUAAAAUCUCGACAUGCUUCGCACAUAGCAAAUGUGCAUGAACUCGAAGACUGCUAUUCUUUUGACGCAGAACACAGUGAAAGGCAAAAGGGAAGACAAGAGGAAGAGAAUGGAAAGCAAAGGCCGCCUUGGUGGCAGAAGCGAAAGAGCAAGGCUCCGACACCGAUUCCAUCUGGGAGUUCAGAAGUUGGAACACCGACAACCACAAGAUGCGAUAGAGUGCUACAUCUACUGUUUCCGUUGGGAGACUCGUGUAGAGGUUGCAGGCUACAAGUUCGUGUCCGUCUGUCCGAAACACCUUCAUCGUCAGGAGUUCUCUAAGGUGUCUUCAAGAUUCUUUUUUGAGGAAAACUGGUGGGGCCUUAGCCCCGACCUCUGAGAUACACCCAUCUGCAGAAAGUUACAGAACAUGAGGCUACUGAAUAUUACAAAAUUCAGUUUCAAAUAUUUAUAUUUAUAAAGUAUACGACUCUACAAACAUGCAUCAAACAUUCGUUCACCAGAAUUGGAUGGUCUAGUGUCUAUAUAUAAACAUCAAAUGAAUACAGCAUUCUGUUACAUGGGACAACUCAAAAUGUAUUUCACACUUGCAGACCAUGAGUAGGCAGUUUUGUAACAGAAGAUCAGCAAGAUCAUAUUGCAAGGGCCAAUACCUCGACACAUAAAAUAAUUAGUGAACCAUUUAUGCAAAUAUGUGCUUAAGUACAAAGAUAUUCCCAUGAUUCUAUAAAUAACUUCCUAAAAAAAGAUUCUACAAAUAACGGAUGUGCAGUAGUACUAGCACCAAACCUUAGAGAUCGACAAACAUAACAAUGGACAAACUCACAAACAUCUAUAGUGCACCAAGACUAUGAAGUUCACUUAUAGUUGCAUACAUGUUUGUUAAAAAUAAUAGCACAUUUGGGAAAACUUCAAACAUCAUCGAAACCAGCAGUGCAGCACAGAUGUAAGCAGUUUUGCUAAACAAAAUAGCAUACCCUCUCUAUUGAACAGGUUUAUCUAGAAGCAGUAAAACCAACAACCUCACAGUACAACAAAUCUCUCAAACUCACAAAUAAUACAUACUAUAUUCUUUUCUAAUUUCUUAACACAGAUAACAAACAGGAAAAUAAAAGGACCCACAUCAUCUUGUGCAAUAGAAUACAAAUCAUUAUGUCUCAUCUCUUCGUCAACCAUCUUUCCCAUUUUGGCCUAUCAAAUCCCAACUGAGUUCUUGUAUUAGUUGUCAAACAACUUUACAAAGAACAAAGGAACAAAGGACAAACAACAAACUGCUAUGAUUAAUACAUUCAAUGAACAAGCAACAGGUAGAGAAGUCAACAUAGCUCAAGAUGUUAGUUACACAAUUAACAACACAGCCUUUUGUUCCCAAGAAAGUUGGGGUAGGCUAGGAGUUGAAACCAAUAAGCAAUAGCAACCAACUUGACCACUUACAUAAUAAAAAUUGAUCAAAAGGUUAACAUCUCUAGAAGGGAAACAUAUUAAUUAAAACAAGUAAAAAACCAAUAAGCACUAUCUAAAUCACUGUAACAGAGACAUUUUGUUUUUGACCGCAGUGAUAAGCACUAUCUAAAUCACUGUAAAAAACCAAUAACUCACAUUUUUUCAUGGUUGUAUUUGGAUGUGCGAGCAAAAGCAAAAUCCCUAUAUAUUUCUUGCAGAAAGAAUCUUCCAUGUCCCCAAUUUGUCAUGAUGCUGAAAUUCAACUGGCUCCUAGUGCUAGUAGGUAAUAAUGCACAUUUUUGGCAGACAGGUGCCACACCAACCCAUUUCCACCCAAAACCCACUAGAUACUCGAACACUCAAACGGUCUAGUUCUAAUUAUUAUCAUGGAGACAUGGACAACAUUUCAACAAUCAGUCUGAAUCAGAACCAUGACAUAACCAUGCAAGAAAAUACAUUGUAACUAGACAUAUUCCCAAACUAGUAUUCCCUCCAUUACAAAUUGGAAUGGCGGGAGUAUGAUUUAAUAACUCAAGCAACAAACCAUUCCUGGUUCAACUCUGCAAAAUCCUUAGGAGUCUGUCCACAGGAGCAAUCCUCCCAAGGCACAUGCAAAGAACCAUUGCAUAACAUGAAUUGAACAAAUAUAAGGAUUACAAAUCUUGGACGAAAUGAGCAAUCAUAGGUACACACGGAUACACAGUAUCAUAAGAAGAUGAAAUCGACAUAUUGUGGGAAACCGACUCCGACCCAGCAUUUCAAAUUGUGCAUCUUGUGCUUUUGAAAAAGCUUAUCCCAAACAACACUAAAUAAAACAACAUGAUGCUUUUUUCACAAAACUAGCUUAGCUCUGUCCUAGACCCCUAGCUUGCACCAGUUGAGCUUCAAGUACUCUACAUGUAUCAGGUAUACCAAUAAACCAUACUGAAAGAGCAAGCAAAGCGACAAGGGACAUUUUAUGUAUGUUGCCAUGGCUGAUAGGAACUGAAAAAAUUUGAGAAUUUGGUAAUGCACAAACAGAUAUGCUGCCUGGUAAAGCUAGCCCCGACCUGACGACGCUAUGCAGUAAUGAAGUUUUAAUUUGACAGUCAAAAUUAGCAGGGCCAUAUGCAUCAGCAAUUCAGCAUGCUAGUUUAAUUCGCUUCCACCCAAUCUGCUGAUAUAUGUAUCAAACUAAAUACAUUUUUUGCUAUCAAAGAAUUGCUUUAAUAAGCAAUGCCCUGGUGUUGAUAUUUAUAAUACUAGUUAGCAAUCCAACAGGCAUUGAAAUAGGGUAGAGUCCACAAAGAUUUAAUUUACUAUUUUAUUUUAUAUUUUAUUUACAAUUCAACAGGCAUCCCCAGAUGUGUAACUUUGGUCAUCGAUACAACAACAAAAAAAUACUGAUAUAGACUUUGAAGCAAGAACAUGACUUGAGCAGUCAUCAAAGAUAAUCAAAACGUGACACACACCACAAUGAAUUACAACUCAGUCAUACCAAAUAUAUACCCUUUUAUCAACAAUAACUAUAUGCUAGAUCUUUCAAUUUCCUCAGUGUAACACACUUCAUGGAAAUUUAUAGAGCACCACUAAUAGCACCUGACUCCAAUCCCUAACGGUUUAAGCAAGCAUGUCAACUUGAGCUAUGAAAACACUACUAGUAUGCUCAAAUACGGUCAGAGGAAACUAUGUUCGAACAAGAGGUGUAAACUCCACAAGCAAUUAAGCCCUUGAGAGAUCAGAAAACAUAGUAGUAGUAGUAGUAGUAGUAUGAUUAGCUAGAGGUAAUUUAGGGCGCUGUCUAUAUUAUCCUUACAAAUUUUGAAGGGGUUAGGCAACUUUUAUGAGAAUAAAGAGAUACAAAUUUAGAACACAAACAACCCAUUUGUACAGUAAUUCUGUUUUGUUUCCUGUACUAUCUUGCUAGCACGCCUGAACCAAUUUCUGAAAUUGCUCCAACUAUACAACAGAUGGUUCAAGAACUUUUAGAGCUUCUAUAUGCCUUUUUUUUAAAAAAAAAAACAAAUCGACAGGAGAGCUACCUAUUAUAUCAAGAUUCUAUAUACAGUUUCAGAGGCCAAUCUAUGAAAAUCUAUAUGCACCCAACAAUUUCAAUUGUCACACCACAUGCACCACACCAAGAACAAGCGUAAACAUUCCAAUAUUAACCACACACAAAAAAACAGAUAUAGUUUUCAUUGAUUCAGCUCUUAGCUACAUCCUGAUAUGUAUAUACCAAAACAAAGUUGUAAGCCCAACCUAGCAGAACAGGGCAAUCAUGAACCGUGCACAUCUAGCUUUCUGCCCCCAUAAAGCCUUGUUCGUUUCAUCCCGAAACCAAGAGGGUUAGAGGGGAUUGAGGGGGAUUUAAUCCCCUACAAGUCAAAAUCUCCCUCAAUCCCCUUCAGUCCUCUCCAACCCCCUUUGGUUUGGUGAAGAACCAAACAAGGAAUAAAAGAUAAUUCAUCAAGGUUCUCCAAUUGGUUGACAAUAACAGAUUGAAAUCCAUAACAUGGUUUUUAAUAGUAGCAAAACGACUGCCUUAGCACAUAGAAUGAUAUAAGCACAGAGACACCUUUUACGAGAUAGACACAACGCACAAACAACCCCAUUUGUAUUAUAGUUCUGUAUUGUCUUUUUCCUUAUUGCUACUAGUGCAGCCAAACUAAUUUCUGAUGUCUCCCACCAUACAAUAGGUGGUUCAAGAACUUUUUACAGCGUCUAUAUACAAUCUAUGCAGAUGUAUACUCAUCCAAGAAUUUCAGUUGCCAUACCACAUGGAUCACAAAGAAUAAGCCAAAACAUUUCAAUAACCAGAACUCAAUAACAUCACAAUUUUCAUCAAUUGAACUCUUAGAAGCAGUCUGCCAUAUCUGUUUACCAAUAAAAAGUAGUAGUCAGACCGAAACCACAUGAACCACACCCGUCUAGCUUUCUAUCCCCAUAAAAGAAAUCAUGAAGGUUCUCCAAUUCUAAACAAGAAGAUUGGCAUCCAUCCACCAACAUGGUUUAACAAUAACAAAACGACUGGCUCCGCACAUAGAAUAAUAUAAGCACAGGCACAAGUUAACGUUUCACAAAUGCAGCACAAUCAAAAGAUAAGUACCUAAAGACUUGCAAGAAAUUAAGGGGAGUCUUAAACAUCCAUAGCAGAAUGGAAACAAAGCUCGAAAGAAGCUACGAGUACUCAGGAACAUGAACCCAACUACUAAGAGCAAUCUGGCAACAAAAAACCCGGAUCCAGCAGAAGACACGCAACUUUUGCCUUGACACCUGUCACCACGCUCCCUGACUCUUGAUCAGUACAUUGCUGUCAAACAAAAAGACCAAGGACUUAGAUGAUAGCGCUAGCCAUGCUCUUAUGUAGCUAAGAUAAAGGAAAAGCAGGUCACAAAAUCAAGCAAGCAUGAAAAGCAAAGAUCAGAAUGGAACAGUUCAGUAGUAGUAGAACUUACUCCCUGGCGGCGAAAGCAGGACCUGCUACAGGAUGGAGUUCAUCAUACUUCCUCUUGUGUGAAACAUGCUUCCUUUGGAAGAAAUGCGAAGAGAUGGCAACUGUCUCAGUAAAAGAGUGGUGACGAACAGACCCAUGCCAUAGGAGCCUCUUGUUCCAAAUGUCAAAGGUGCAUAUGUGAUACACCGAAGAAACAUCUGAACAAGCGUCAUACAACACAAGGCAGAGGGUACCAUCUGCCAUGAGGACAGGGUACCCCACCUGCGCCUCCGGCAACCCGCCCUCCUUGAAGCCAUCGAACCUCCAGAGCUCUCUGACAGGAAACCUUGCCUCAUUCUUCCACUGCCCCCAAGGCAGUUCCAGAGUCCACAUUGUCACUAAGUCAUCUGCAUUGUGCUCACCACGGCGAAUGCAUACGAACCAGAUUGAGCCCCUGACACAGCCCAUGGUCCGGGACAUCUUCAUCGACUCCUCACAGUCCAACGCAUCCUCCAAGUUAAGCUCGCACCCGACUGGCAACUUGAUGCAGUCAAAACCAAUGACAGAGUCAGUGGUUUGCAGGUCACAGUACAUGAUGGCUUGCGACAGAUCAACCCAAAUACCCUUGCCUUGAAAAGAGAAGGUCAUGUCCGUCAUGAAUCGUUCAUAGACGCUCACCGGCACAUUCCAGCUCACCCUCUUCUUCAUCUCCCAUGCACAAGUCAGGUUUGCCCCCAUCAACAGAGAGAACACGCAGAGAAAGGGCGGCCGGUCGAUGUCAAAAGCCAUGGGCAGACCAUCGUGAGAUUCACGAGCCAUGAGGAACAGCUCAUAAGCACCGUCAGAGGUGCGCUUGGGGACGGGCUUUAACAUACCAAUGACUUCGAGGGGAUCUGGGAUGUAGCUGAUCAUGGAGAGUGACGCGUUCUUGUGGUCGUAAACGAGGUAGUAGGGCAGAUCACGAAGGUCCUCGCGCUGCAGGAACAGCAUCAUGAUCAUGAGGUCCUGCUCUUCAUCCAUCAGGAUUAUGCUGGCCCUCGCAGUCAUAUUACUGUUCAGGUAGUGCGGCCUGCAGUUUUUUCGGGCACGGCCGUCAAGCUCCGAGUUGAAUCUCUCAUGAGCUUCUGGGCUGAUGCGGAUGGCCAAGGAUGAGCUGACAAGCGGAUCGUCGCCGAGGAGCACGUGGAGACUGAGGCCAUUCAACGCC
rnacentral:lncRNA from 1 species